rnacentral:lncRNA from 1 species
GUGGAUGAAUGAUUGGAUUUGAGCAUUGCAUUCGCUUAGUUUAUAAUUCUGAAGACCGAAUUAGCCUUCGCUUAGUUGGGUGAUUCGUGUUGGAUUUGUCAUUAAUCUGGGAUAGGAAGCAUAGUAAUUGAGUUAAUGACCAACCGUUUUCAUUCUGCAUUUGAUUCCAUAUUUACUUAUGUGUUUGCAAUUCUGUUUUUACAUUUCUGUUGCAUCCGUGUUUUAAUUUAGUUUAUCCGCAUUCACAAUCCUUUCACAAACCCCCCACUACGUGUUAGUGUGUGUUGUGUUUUGUCUUGUGUUGUGAGUGUGUUGUUCCGUUUUGUGUCGUGUCAUGUGUGUUGCAUUUAGAUAGUUGCAUAUUUUCAUUCCAUUCUUCUUUCCCCCCU